GUGUCACUCAAAACCCCAAUAAAACCCUCAGUCAGGGUUUAUAGCUGCAGUUCAGUAUCUGAUUGUUUUACUGCACUGUAUACUUUGUUUUGGGGCGAUAAUGAAAAUGUUACAGUUUGGAGUUCUGUUGAUAAUCAUUUCAUAUGUUAGUGGUCAGUCAUUGACAUCCUCUGAUUCAGUAGUGAAGAAACCUGGAGAAUCAGUCACUCUGUCCUGUACUGUGUCUGGAUUCUCUAUGAGCAGCUACUACAUGUCCUGGAUUCGUCAGAAACCACAGAAAGGACUGGAAUGGAUUGGAUAUAUAGAUGGUGGCACAACUGCAUAUUAUGCUCAAUCUCUACAGGGUCAGUUCUCCAUCACUAAAGACAACAGUAAAAACAUGCUGCUUUUAGAAAUAAAAAGACUGAAGACUGAGGACACCGCUGUUUAUUAUUGUGCAAGAGGCUCACAGCUUCACCAAAAAACUGCAGCGCUACACAAAAACUAUUCAUGCAUGAAAUCACUGAAGGCCUGACAGCUGUUGAACAGAAAACUCAAAAUCAUACGAUUUAUUCUUUGGAAUGGUUGUUUUUAACAUCAAAAAAUGUCAUCAACAGGAACAUCUUGAAUACAUUCAAAAAGUUGACAUGAGCAUUCUUUCAGCAUUGGCCUGCAAAAGCCAUAGCCUAUUGUACAUAACUUUCCAGUUAAUCACAGAUCUUAAUUAUAUCAGAUUUGUAUGCAUUAGGCCAACAUUAUAUAACUAUCGUAUGUGGAA